CGUAGGGGGCGAGCGUUGUCCGGAUUUAUUGGGCGUAAAGAGCUCGUAGGCGGUUUGGCAAGUCGGGUGUGAAAACUCCGGGCUCAACUCGGAGACGCCACUCGAUACUGCCAUGACUCGAGUCCGGUAGGGGAGUGCGGAAUUCCUGGUGUAGCGGUGAAAUGCGCAGAUAUCAGGAGGAACACCGGUGGCGAAGGCGGCACUCUGGGCCGGUACUGACGCUGAGGAGCGAAAGCGCGGGGAGCGAACAGGAUUAGAUACCCUGGUAGUCCACGCCGUAAACGUUGGGCACUAGGUGUGGGGCUCGAUCGACGGGCUCCGUGCCGUAGCUAACGCAUUAAGUGCCCCGCCUGGGAAGUACGGCCGCAAGGCUA
rnacentral:rRNA from 1 species